rnacentral:lncRNA from 1 species
GCGAACUGCAACCAACUGGUGGAACUUGUGUCAGAUUGGAGGAGCGAUUGCCUGGAGAAACAAAAUCUGCUCAUCGUAGAACUAUGUGGAGUUUUGGGAAGGCUGCACUCAAUUGAAGGAUUAGCACAAUCAAACAAUAAUGCAAAGUUGAAUUAUAGUGCCAAACACGUAACAAAAGUUGCUGGUAACAAGUGAAACCGAAAAGAAC